GAUGAAGAACGUAGCGAAUUGCGAUAAGUAAUGUGAAUUGCAGAUUUUCAGUGAAUCAUCGAAUCUUUGAACGCACCUUGCGCCUUUUGGUAUUCCGAAAGGCACACCUGUUUGAGCGUCAUGAAUACCUCAAUCUCCAUCUUUUCUUCGGAUUGAUGGGUGACUUGGAUGUUGAGCCCUGCUGGUAUGCUAUAUCAGCUGGCUUUAAACUUAUUAGCCGGCUCUGUACUGGAUCGGUUUGACUCGACGUGAUAAUAUUAUCGUUGAGGAUGCAUGUCUCAUGCAGCCGGAAAGUAUCAAAGCAGCUUCUAGCUUGCCUUUAGUGCACUUUUACAUUUUAGACCUCAGAUCAGGUGGGACUACCCGCUGAACUUAAGCAUAUCAAUAAGCGGAGGA
rnacentral:misc_RNA from 1 species